rnacentral:rRNA from 1 species
UACGGAAGGCAGCAGUGGGGAAUAUUGCACAAUGGGCGCAAGCCUGAUGCAGCCAUGCCGCGUGUAUGAAGAAGGCCUUCGGGUUGUAAAGUACUUUCAGUCGUGAGGAAGGUGUUAAGGUUAAUAACCUUAGCAAUUGACGUUAGCGACAGAAGAAGCACCGGCUAACUCCGUGCCAGCAGCCGCGGUAAUACGGAGGGUGCGAGCGUUAAUCGGAAUUACUGGGCGUAAAGGGCACGCAGGCGGUUAAUUAAGUUGGAUGUGAAAUCCCCGGGCUUAACCUGGGAAUGGCAUUCAAGACUGGUUAGCUAGAGUCUUGUAGAGGGGGUAGAAUUCCGAUGUGUAGCGGUGAAAUGCGUAGAGAUGUGGAGGAAUCCGGUGGCGAAGGCGGCCCCUGGACAAAGACUGACGCUCAUGUGCGAAAGCGUGGGGAGCAAAC